rnacentral:rRNA from 1 species
GACGAACGCUGGCGGCGUGCUUAACACAUGCAAGUCGAACGGAAAGGCCUGCUUUCCCUUGUGGAUUGCGGGUACUCGAGUGGCGAACGGGUGAGUAACACGUGAGUGAUCUGCCCCCAACUUGGGUAUAAGCCUGGGAAACUUGGUCUAAUUCCCGAUAUGCCUGCAGGGUGGUGCCUGUUGUGGAAAACGAUUUUCUAGUGGUUGGGGAUGAGCUCACGGCCUAUCAGCUUGUUGGUGGGGUAAUGGCCUACCAAGGCGACGACGGGUAGCCGGCCUGAGAGGAGGAUCAGGAACACUGGAACGGAGACAAGGGCCAGACGCCGACGGGAGGCAGAAGGGGGGAAUAUGGGACAGAGGGCGAAAGCCGGAUCCAGCAAUACCGCGUGGGUGAAGAAGGCAUUCGGGUUGUAAAGGGGUUUUGUUGGGAAAGAAAAGAAGAAGGUUAAGACACCGAUGUGCUGACGGUACACAAAGAAUAAGAACAGGCUAACGUAGUG